rnacentral:rRNA from 1 species
GAAAACUUGCCCUCAUGUCUGGGAUAAUCCUCCGAAAGGGGGUCUAAUACCGGAUAAUACCCCGAAAUGGCAUCUUUUUGGGGUCAAAGGCGGGGUAACCUGCCGCACGAGGAUGGUUCCGCGCUCCAUUAGCCUGUUGGCGGGGUAACGGCCCACCAAAGCUACGAUGGAUAGCCGACCUGAGAGGGUGACCGGCCACACUGGGACUGAGAUACGGCCCAGACUCCUACGGGAGGCAGCAGUAGGGAAUAUUGCGCAAUGGACGAAAGUCUGACGCAGCAACGCCGCGUGGGUGAUGAAGCAUCUUGGUGUGUAAAACCCUGUCAGUGGGGAAGAAACGUAAGAGGAGUAACUGCCUCUUGCCUGACGGUACCCACAGAGGAAGUCCCGGCUAACUCCGUGCCAGCAGCCGCGGUAAUACNGGGGGGACGAGCGUUGUUCGGAUUUACUGGGCGUAAAGGGCGCGUAGGCGGACCUUCAAGUCGGGUGUGAAAUCUGUUGGCUUAACUGACAGUCUGCACUCGAUACUGUUGGCCUUGAGUACGGGAGAGGAGAGUGGAAUUCCUGGUGUAGCGGUGAAAUGCGUA